rnacentral:rRNA from 1 species
AAAUUGAAUUCCCCGUGAAGAUGCGGGGUUCCUGCGGUCAGACGGAAAGACCCCGUGCACCUUUACUGUAGCUUUGCGCUGGUAUUCGUGACUGUUUGUGUAGAAUAGGUGGUAGACUUUGAAGCCAGGGCGCCAGCUCGGGUGGAGUCGCAAUGUGAAAUACCACCCUAAUGGUUAUGGAUAUCUAACCGCAUCCCGUCAUCCGGGAUCGGGACAGCGCAUGGUGGGCAGUUUGACUGGGGCGGUCGCCUCCUAAAUCGUAACGGAGGCGUGCGAAGGUCCCCUCAGCCUGAUUGGAAACCAGGCGUAGAGUGCAAAUGCAAAAGGGGGCUUAACUGCGAGACCGACAGGUCGAGCAGGUGCGAAAGCAGGCAUUAGUGAUCCGGUGGUGCUGCAUGGGAGGGCCAUCGCUUAUCGGCGACAAGGUACUCUGGGGAUAACAGGCUGA